GACGCACGCUGGCGGCGUGCCUAAUACAUGCAAGUCGAACGCAGUGGGGACGGGUGAGUAACACGUGGGUAACCUCCCAUCAGAGGGGAUAACACUUGGCAACAGGUGCUAAACCGAUACUGAUGGAUGGAACCGCGGUGCAUUAGCUAGUUGGUGAGGUAACGGCUCACCAAGGCCACGAUGCAUAGCCGACCUUAGAGUGUGAUCGGCCACACUGGGACUGAGACACGGCCCAGACUCCUACGAGAGGCAGCAGUAGGGAAUCUUCGGCAAUGGUCGAAAGUCUGACCGAGCAACGCCGCGUGAGUGAGGAAGGUAUGCGGAUCGGAAAACUCUGUUGUUAGAGAAGCGGUAUCUAACCAGAGAGCCACGGCUAAGUACGUGCGAGCAGCCGCGGUAAUUC
rnacentral:rRNA from 1 species